UAGGGAAUCUUCGGCAAUGGGGGGAACCCUGACCGAGCAACGCCGCGUGAGUGAAGAAGGUUUUCGGAUCGUAAAGCUCUGUUGUUAAGGAAGAACGAGUGUGAGAAUGGAAAGUUCAUGCUGUGACGGUACUUAACCAGAAAGGGACGGCUAACUACGUGCCAGCAGCCGCGGUAAUACGUAGGUCCCGAGCGUUGUCCGGAUUUAUUGGGCGUAAAGCGAGCGCAGGCGGUUAGAAAAGUCUGAAGUGAAAGGCAGUGGCUCAACCAUUGUAGGCUUUGGAAACUGUUUAACUUGAGUGCAGAAGGGGAGAGUGGAAUUCCAUGUGUAGCGGUGAAUUGCGUAGAUAUAUGGAGGAACACCGGUGGCGAAAGCGGCUCUCUGGUCUGUAACUGACGCUGAGGCUCGAAAGCGUGGGGAGCGAACAGG
rnacentral:rRNA from 1 species